rnacentral:rRNA from 1 species
AUUGAACGCUGGCGGCAUGCUUUACACAUGCAAGUCGAACGGCAGCGCGGGCUUCGGCCUGGCGGCGAGUGGCGAACGGGUGAGUAAUGCAUCGGAACGUGCCCAGUAGUGGGGGAUAGCCCGGCGAAAGCCGGAUUAAUACCGCAUACGACCUGAGGGUGAAAGCGGGGGACCGAAAGGCCUCGCGCUAUUGGAGCGGCCGAUGUCGGAUUAGCUAGUUGGUGGGGUAAAGGCUUACCAAGGCGACGAUCCGUAGCUGGUCUGAGAGGACGACCAGCCACACUGGGACUGAGACACGGCCCAGACUCCUACGGGAGGAAGCAGUGGGGAAUUUUGGACAAUGGGGGCAACCCUGAUCCAGCCAUGCCGCGUGCGGGAAGAAGGCCUUCGGGUUGUAAACCGCUUUUGUUCGGGAAGAAAUCCUCUGGGCUAAUACCCCGGGGGGAUGACGGUACCGGAAGAAUAAGCACCGGCUAACUACGUG